GCUCUGCUGGUGCAAUUGGUCAGCACGCCCUCACCAAAAACAUUAAAAACUUAUAAAACCGUGGGAGAUUUGGGUUGGAACCCCAACUAGAGCA